rnacentral:lncRNA from 1 species
UCUAAGAAAGAAGACUUUGGAGGAGGAGGGGAGAGUGCAGGGACCACCUCUUCCUCUCCCAGAUGAGCAGACUGGGACUGUGGUGCUGAAGAGGCUGUCCUGCCCUUGUCUCCAUCCCGGAGUUCCAGCUACUCUGUGACCCCCAGAAGUGGCCGGUGGUGCAGAACAGCCUGGAACAUGACAUGCUAGAUCAAUGUCCAUACACGUCCACAGAAAUAAAUGAAUGUUCCUUCUGCCAUGACUCAUGUCUCGGGGACAACAGGUUCACCCGUCUAGGGUGUGAGCUGACGCACACUUCACUCCCUCUGACCUGGAAUGUGUGGGGCUUCUAACUGCGGUUUCAGGUUUUAUGAUUAAAUGCAAGUGAUGCCUGUGGGUUACUGCACAUUUUAGAAAA